UGCCUUGGUGUUGCCCGUUCACGUAUCUUUGUGGUGGACGUGGUGUCAUGUAAGGCACACAGUAAAUCCACUCGGGGAAUCAACAAAAGCUUGGAGGUCUCACCGACUCCUGCUGCACCUCCCUCGAGAAGAACAUCU